AUCUCGAGAUCGCACAAUCUCACAACUGUUCGACCAGCUAUUCGACAGCCUUCUAUAUAAGCAACUAAAGGCCUGAGGAUCAAGAUAAGUCAAUCAAUCCCUAUCAGAGAACUCGUUGGUAUUCCUAUUAUUUUCUGAAUCUAACUUGAGCGUCGAAGAGUCCUCGCUGAAGCGAAAAUCUCCGGUUUGAACUUGUUUUGCUGGUCACUCUAGCUCCAUCAUCCUUGAGCGAGACUCAGUCACCUUCUCUCCGACCUCAACCAAAUCAAACAGCAA
rnacentral:lncRNA from 1 species